GAGCAUGCAGAGGCAAACUCCAAGUACUGAGACAAGGCUGAAGGGCAGAGGCUAAGGAACUUCGUAAGACUAGUGUCAACGAGCUUCUCAUCAAGAUAGCCGAAAGUGAAGGACUUCGGGUCAUACAAGAGUGCACGACCAAGGAACGAAAUAGGCAGUAUGUGGUGUUAUACCUUUGCUACUCAGUGGAGUAGGCGGCAGGGUUGAUGGAGAAGACGG
rnacentral:lncRNA from 1 species